GUACUUGUCCAAACAGGAAAAAAUAUAGUUCAUCAUUUGAUGUACUUGUUUUUAAAAUUGGUAUUGAUUCUCCCGGUGGCAACGGCAAAUGUUGAGAGAGCAUUUUUUGCCAUGAGUUUUGUCAACAACAAGUUGAGAAAUAAGAUGGGCGAUAGUCUUUUGGAUGAUUGCCUAGUCAGAUACAUUGAGAGGGAUGCUUCCUCCGACGUGAAUGAAGAUGACAUAAUUGAUAUCUUCAUGGCAAUGCAAAAACGUUGGCUAGAAAGAUAG
rnacentral:rRNA from 1 species